rnacentral:rRNA from 1 species
ACAUGCAAGUCGAGCGGAAACGAAGAGGUGCUUGCACCUCUGGCGUCGAGCGGCGGACGGGUGAGUAAUGCUUGGGAAUAUGCCUUAUGGUGGGGGACAACAGUUGGAAACGACUGCUAAUACCGCAUAAUGUCUACGGACCAAAGUGGGGGACCUUCGGGCCUCACGCCAUAAGAUUAGCCCAAGUGGGAUUAGCUAGUUGGUGAGGUAAUGGCUCACCAAGGCGACGAUCCCUAGCUGGUUUGAGAGGAUGAUCAGCCACACUGGGACUGAGACACGGCCCAGACUCCUACGGGAGGCAGCAGUGGGGAAUAUUGCACAAUGGGCGCAAGCCUGAUGCAGCCAUGCCGCGUGUGUGAAGAAGGCCUUCGGGUUGUAAAGCACUUUCAGUAAGGAGGAAAGGUUAGUCACUAAUAUUGGCUAGCUGUGACGUUACUUACAGAAGAAGCACCGGCUAACUCCGUGCCAGCAGCCGCGGUAAUACGGAGGGUGCGAGCGUUAAUCGGAAUUACUGGGCGUAAAGCGUACGCAGGCGGUUUGUUAAGCGAGAUGUGAAAGCCCCGGGCUCAAUCUGGGAACUGCAUUUCGAACUGGCAAACUAGAGUGUGAUAGAGGGUGGUAGAAUUUCAGGUGUAGCGGUGAAAUGCGUAGAGAUCUGAAGGAAUACCGAUGGCGAAGGCAGCCACCUGGGUCAACACUGACGCUCAUGUACGAAAGCGUGGGGAGCAAACAGGAUUAGAUACCCUGGUAGUCCACGCCGUAAACGAUGUCUACUAGAAGCUCGGUUCUUCGGAACUGUUUUUCAAAGCUAACGCAUUAAGUAGACCGCCUGGGGAGUACGGCCGCAAGGUUAAAACUCAAAUGAAUUGACGGGGGCCCGCACAAGCGGUGGAGCAUGUGUUUAAUUCGAUGCAACGCGAAGAACCUUACCUACACUUGACAUACAGAGACUUACCAGAGAUGGUUUGGUGCUUCGGGAACUCUGAUACAGGUGCUGCAUGGCUGUCGUCAGCUCGUAGUGUGAGAACGUCGGGUUAAGUCCCGCAACGAGCGCACACCUAAUCCUUAAUUGGCGCAGCGAUUCCGCUCGGGAACUCUAAAGGAGACAGCGCGGGGGGAUUAACCCCAGGAAAAGUUGGGGACACCCCUUCAGUACUCUUGGGGCCCUCAUCGUGGAAGGCUU